CGCUCGCGGCGCUCGCCGGCUGCAUGUCCGGCCACCCGCCGUACGGAAUGCCCGAUGCGUCGACGAUCGGCUACGACGCGCGCACGGGCCUUGCGCGCGCGCCGGACUGCGCGGCGCUCGAGCAGCGCUCGCAGAUGAUCGACGCGGGCCGCGCGCGGCCCGGCGUGAGCUUCGGCUGCGCGACCUACGGCAACCUCGCGGCGAUGCUCGCGCGGCCCGCCGAUCUCGUCGCGCCGCUGCCGUACGCGGGCGCGGACGCGGCGCUCGGCGCGAGCGCGGUGCGCCGCUACGACGAAGGCCGCGCGACGCCGCUGAACCCGACGUCGACGACGACGUCCGUCACGCACUAGCGGAGGCGAAAUGGGCGCAUUCGACCGGGUGGGCGGCGCGCGGCCCGUGAAGGAACUGCGCGACGCGGCGGGCGGCGCGCGCCUCGUCGCGAUCGUCGCCGACGCGGCGAGCGACGAGGUGAUCCGCAACCUGAUCGCCGAUCAGGCGAUGACGGGCGCGCAGGUCGCGCGCGGCGGAAUCGACGACGCGAUCGCGCUGAUGCGCGAUCUUUCGCACGGGCCGCAGCAUCUGCUCGUCGACGUGUCGGGCGCGGCGAUGCCGUUGUCCGAUCUCGCGCGGCUCGCCGACGUCUGCGAUCCAUCGGUGAACGUGAUCGUGAUCGGCGAGCGCAACGAUGUCGGGCUGUUUCGCAGCAUGCUGCGCAUCGGCGUGCGCGAUUAUCUCGUCAAGCCGCUGACCGUCGAGCUCGUGCAUCGCGCGCUGUCGGCGGCCGAUCCGAACGCCGCCGCGCGCGCGGGCAAGGCGAUCGGCUUCGUCGGCGCGCGCGGCGGCGUCGGCGUGACGAGCAUCGCGGUCGCGCUCGCGCGCCAUCUCGCGGACCGCACGCGCCGCCGCGUCGCGUACGUCGAUUUCGACUGCCACGGCGGCGCGGCGUGCUCGAUGCUCGGCGUCGUCAGCAACCAGGGGCUCGUCGAGCUGCUGCAGAAUCCGCAGCGGCUCGACGCGCAACUGAUCCAUCAGGCGAUGGUCGCGCAGAGCGACCGGCUCUUCGUGCUGUCGGCCGAGCUGCCUUACGACAGCGAGGCGCCGUGGCGCGCGGGCGCGGUCGCGGGGCUCGUCGGCGCGCUCAGGCAUCAGUUCCAUUACGUGCUGCUCGAUCUGCCCGAGCGCGCGGGCCGGCUCGUCGACGAGGCGCUCGCCGCGUGCGCGAGCGUGUACGUGGUCGCCGACCGCUCGGUGCACGCGGCGCGCGAGGCGGCGCGGCUGCUGCAUCACGCGCAGGCGCGCGACGGCGACGCGCACGUCUCGCUGAUCCUCAACAACGCUCAGCAGCCGGUGCGCGGGCGCGUCAAGCCGGCCGAUUUCGCGCGGGCGGUGGGGCGCGCGUCGAUGCUC
rnacentral:rRNA from 1 species